UGGAAAAGCCGGGAAGGAACAUUGCUUGGAACGCGCUUCGGCGCACCCAGAAACCCUUUGUGAACUUAUACCUAUACUGUUGCCUCGGCGCUGGCCGGCCUCCUCACCGAGGCCCCCUGGAGACAGGGAGCAGCCCGCCGGCGGCCAAACAAACUCUUGUUUCUUAGUGAAUCUCUGAGUAAAAAACAUAAUGAAUCAAAACUUUCAACAACGGAUCUCUUGGUUCUGGCAUCGAUGAAGAACGCAGCGAAAUGCGAUAAGUAAUGUGAAUUGCAGAAUUCAGUGAAUCAUCGAAUCUUUGAACGCACAUUGCGCCCUCUGGUAUUCCGGAGGGCAUGCCUGUUCGAGCGUCAUUUCAACCCUCAAGCCUGGCUUGGUGUUGGGGCACCGCCCUUGUCAAAAGGGCGGGCCCUGAAAUCUAGUGGCGAGCUCGCCAGGACCCCGAGCGUAGUAGUUAUAUCUCGUUCUGGAAGGCCCUGGCGGUGCCCUGCCGUUAAACCCCCAACUUCUGAAAUUUUGACCUCGGGAUCAGGUAGGAAUACCCGCUGAACUUAAGCAUAUCAAUAAGCGGAGGAAU
rnacentral:rRNA from 1 species